UGCCAGGACAGAGGGGAAAUGGGCCGGGAGAAGGCGCGCAGCCCCCCGCGCCGCCCUUCUGGGGGCAAACAGAACAGGGCGCUGCUGAGACCCCCGGGGGGGCGAGGGCGACGCCCGGCUCUGCCCGGGGUGCCCGACGCUGCGGCACUCCACCGGGCAGAGGCUUUAAGGGGUUAAAGCUUCCGAGUGUCCCCAAAUCACCUGACUGAGCCAUUAUGCAAGUCACCUCGGACUUUUUCCUCUGUGACUCAUGCCUUUAGGAAGGGGGAAAGGAAGCCCCGCGCAGGCCCCCAAGGAUCUCGGGGGGCCCGGCGGGCCGCUGUCUGGGACAAAGGUCACCUCGAGGCCGGCCCGGCUCUGAGUCUCCCGAGAGGUGCCGGCUCGGAACCCCAGACCCAAAGGGAGGGGGUGGCCAGGCCGGCCCAACAGCAGACGAGUUUUCUGGGAAAAGCGGCGAGCCACGCCGGGCAGAGGGGGCACCCACAGGCACGACCAGAGCCAGCUGUCCAGUGUAGCCCCUCCUCUGACCCCCUCAUUGUACAGCGGAGGAAACUGAGGCCCAGGGGCACCCCAAACGCACCGGAAAACGAGGCUGCAGAGAUGUCAGCAGAACUGUUGAUCAGAGCACCCACCUUCCUUUUAUUUCAAGCCUCCCAGGCCGGGCAGGGGCGGGUAAGGGACUGGCCCAGGGUCACCCAGCCCGGAAGGGUCUGCUACUACAUCCCCUCACUUGACACGUAGGGAAAGCGAGGCCCAGGUGACCCUGCAGAGGGGUCUGAGCCCCGCCAGCCCUUCAUCCAAUCAGACUCGGGGUCCCUCCUCCUCUACGGCCAGCCCUGCCUCCAGCCUUCCCCGGCACCCCCCAAGAAGCGGGCGCCUCAGCACCCCCACAUCCUCCCAUUCCGGGUCACGCAGGCUUCUCGGCCCGCUCCCCAGGCUCCGGCUGCCUCGGCUGCCGGUAGCCAUUCCGGCCUGGGCUCCUCCUGGGCCUCCAGCCCUGUCCCUUCCCCUGGAUCAGAGCGGACUCACAAUGGUUCCAGAGUGGAGGGGCCGGAAGGGCUAGCCCAGCUGGCAAGUCUGAGGCAGGAUUGGAACCCAGGGCUCCGCGUUAGCUCUGAGAGCGCAGGAUUGGGAUUUUUAAAUGCUUCCCAUCUGUCUUAGCGUCUUCCCAGGGAGGAGCAGGAAGGGCUGGGCCUUGGGGUGAGUGACUUGCCCAGGGUCACUCGGCUAUCCCAGGGCAGCGAGGCCCCGACAUCUCGAGGGCCCCCAGCCCCAACAGAACGCAUUGGCCCCCCCUCCUGUGGGGGCUCUGCCCACACUUCGGGGAGCCCCGCCCCCUCUCCAGGGACACCCGGGCGGCCGGCGGGGGUCUGGGCCUCCAGGCUGCCCAGGGAUGCAGGGAGAGCCCACGACUUCCUGCUCAGCCCCCGCCCCGGCAAAGGUUCUGGGUCCACUGUGGCCACCGGCACUGCCUGGCUGGGUGAUCCUGGACGAGUCACUUCACCCCCAAAGCCUAGCUUCCCAGGUCGGACUCUACAGCCGAGGGGAAGGGGUUAAAGGAGAAGAAAGACAAGGGGAGGGCGGAGGAGGGCCCAGGCCUACGAUCGAAGCCCUCCACAAGUCCCUUCCCCCGCCUGCCUCAGCUUCUGGCUCUGGAGAAUGGGGAUCCCAAUCCUGGCGCCUCCCUGGAUGGCGGGAGUUCAUCCUGGGAGCUCUGGGGCGCCCGGCGCGGGGUCCCCGGUUGGCAACACCUCCCUUCUCUCGGCCGCCCCCCUCACUCCCGCGCAGCCUCCCAGCUGGAAGCAACGACCUCGGGGAAGAGGGCAAGGGCCCCUUCGCCCCCCCCAACGGCUGGAGGGAGGUCACGUGAGCGAUAGGAGGCGGCACUUCCCCCUCCCCGCCUCCCACCCCGCCCCCCAACCCCGGCUUACCGAGGCAUAGUGGAGGUGGGGCGGCACCCAGGGGAGCGGGGAGGAAGGGGGCGGGGAGAGGGCGGGGAGCGGGAGGAGGCCGCCCCGGGCGAGGCCGCCCGGCCACCGCCUUCGACGCCCACAAUGGUUGCCAUGGCGACCGCGCCCGAGCCCCGCCCCUGGUACCUGGGCUCCUGGAAGGCAGGCUCUCCCUCUCCAAUCUUCCGUAGCUCCCCGGUGCCCCAGGGCAAGGCGAAUCCUUCCCUAUCUGCGCCCCCUUGUUCUCCCGGCCGUGACCCCGGCAUUGCCCAGACUCCCGGAGCCGAGCCAGGGCUAAGUAUGAAAUCCAAUCCAACCCAAUGUAAUCAGCACCCAUCUACGGAAAGGAAAGGCAGCUCCUGCCCGCAGGAAGCUCAGUCUAGAGAUCAGCCAACAGCCCCUAUGGCAGCACAAGCCAGACACCCCACACCCAUGGAUUUAUGCAGCCCCCCAAGAAAAAGCUAAAAGUCUGUUUGUAAAAAUUAUUAAAAAAAAGAACAAAACCUUCGUAUAAAAAUGUAAAACUGACUUUACAGGCUAUGCAUUUUACACCCUCAGUGCGGAUGUCCCAACGGUAAGGAGCAUAGAAGGAUGGAAUGUUUUCCAUGAGAACCCCUUGGCCAAACUCCUAGCCCCUGAUCCUAAAGACCGCCAGCUUCCUGCCAGGUUCCCAGAAUGCUCCCGCACCGGAUGUCUGUUCCUUUGGAGAGGAAGUCCUGUUUGUAUUCUCAGGAUGGCCCAAGAACUUGCGGAUUGUUAUGACAAAGGAAGAAGGGGCCAAGAGAAAAAUAAGGCCCCAACAUCGCCUCCUCCUGGGCCAUCGCUGUUGGCAUUUUGAAAUGUUCCUGAGCAAACACCUCGCAUUUUGGAAUCUCAGUUAAAAGAACAAAAAAUCAGAACAUCCCACCUUCCCCCAAAAGCGUGAAUCAUCCUGGCGGAUCUUUCUGAAUGUUCCCCAUGGCAGGGGGCUCUAAAAGCAUCUCCUCCCCUCAAUUCCCUGAGCUAAAGUCGAGCCCCCUUCCUCCCUUCAGCCUCCAGAGGCCAUCUCCCUCCUGCAGACCCCUCAGGAGCCCCAAAGGAGUCCAGGGGGCUCUGGAUCAUCAGCUUUUCCUCGCUGACCAGCAAAUCAAAUGACCACGAGCCAUUCAUCCUGUGAUGACCCAAACCGACAAGGUGGACAAGCGGGGCUAGCCAAUGCAAACCAGCCUUUCAGCUGCCUCCAAUAAAGGUGCAUCCUUUCCCCAUUAAUCAUCUUGAGAAAGUCUUAGACCAACAGUUGGGUCCUGAGCAGAUGCUCUGGCUCAGGGCCACCUUCCAUCUUUCGGGAUACUUCUCAGGCCCAAGCGGGGACCCCAUCCUUGUUUUCUCAAUUAGACUUUGGUGAUUAGACAAAUUCCCCACCCCAGGGCCCCCAACCAAAAAGAGCUUUUCAAAGCCAAGAGACAGACCCUUCUGUCCAGUCCAGCUCCAAGGACUUCAAAGAGCUUUCCAAUCAAUUGGCUUCUUGCCAGACUUCUUGAGCAACUCGUUGGUCUUGGAGAAAUGCUUGCAUCCGAAGAACCCUCGAUAGGCCGAGAGCGGAGAGGGGUGGACAGUCUGCAGGAUGUGGUGGCGCUUCUAGAGAGAGGAAUUGGAACGUCAGAGUUUGGUGACUGUUCUGGGACUAGGAAAUGGGGCUCACCCUGGAAAUCUAGAGGCCUCUGGGUCAGCACUGACAGACUUGGAGCUCAGGGACCUUAAAGGCCAUCUGGGACCCCGGAGGUCCUGGGCAAUGAAGCCAAGUUGCCAACAAACUUGAGAUCCUGUUUCAUGCUCCAGUUUUCAAUCCUUGAAGGACUUUCCACUUGACAGAGUUGGACCCUGAGACUCCCAGGCUGGUGCCUGAAUUCACAGACUUGUACAGAACCUGCCCCUGUAGGAAAUGCUGAGAUCCCCAGGAUCUGGGGCUGAAGGGAAAGGACCAGCCUCUCCAAUCACAUCCUGUGAGCUGUGCAUUCGAGACCUCUUUCCUUCUGUGAGACCAGAAUGAGUCUCUCGGAUGGUGUCUAAAGGAAAAGGGAGGGCUACCUACCUGGCCUGGCCUUGGCUUCUCCCACUGGUACAUGGGGAGGAAGGGGGACAUGUUGGACAGACAGAGGAGUGACACAUACCCUGUCGAUGGAGAGGCCUUUCUUCUGUGCAUAGGAUCCCCAGAGCACGAAGACCAGGCCAUUCAAGUUCUGAUUUAACCAAGACACCACAGCAUCGGUGAACUGCUCCCACCCUCUCUCCCUGUGGGAAUUGGCCUGGUGGGCUCGGACCGUGAGCACAGCAUUGAGGAGGAGGACACCUACACACAAGCACCAAAGAAACCAAUCAAAAGCAGCCCCAGAAUCCCCACAGCAGGGAGUGAAAGGAGGAGGGAAGAAGGGAGAGAGAGAAGAGAGGAAGGAGGAGUGGGGAGAAACAGAGGCGAAUGGGAAGGCGAUGCGGGACGGGGAAGUGUUGAUCAAUCAGCGCUUGGUGAUCAUGGGAGGCUUGCUUUUCACUCAUUAAUCACAACAAAUACGAUCCAAUAGUUGGGUCCCACAUCAUGUAUAGAAACACGCGGAGGUCCCCAGAGAUCUCCUCCUGCGUUAGCCCAAGACCACAGAGAGGACAAAACGGAGACAAGGGCAGGCUCCGAUUCGGCAUUUGUGGCCUCCAGCUUUUUGAGGAUAUCGAGUGUAAGAGCAGCUUCAUCCCCCCAAUCUCGCCUCCUAGGCAUUAGCCCUUCGGCCAGCUGCUUACCCUGUUUGGCCCAUCCAGACAAAUCUCCAUGACCGGGAUGGGUAAAGCCAUCUAUAUCUGUCGACAACUCUUUAUAGAUAUUUUCCAAGCUGAAAACCAGACAAACAAAAUGCUUUACUUCGCAAAAAUCGGUGAAAUGUCAAACCCCACCAAGAAAUGAAUCCACAAGAGGCAAGGCCAGGAGCUCCUGCCAGCGGAGGCCCGGGGUCUCAAGGCUCCUUCUGGCUCAGUCUCUGACCCCCUCCCCAGGAGAUGAGGAAACACUGCAAUGGCAAUCUGGAUUUCAUCAUUCCGCCAAUGGCGCUCUUAUCUGCUGCAUGACAAAUAACACCCCCCUUAGAGGAGGGCUAGAAGAAUAGUGCCAGUUGGGAAAUAAGGGGAGCUGCCACAUUCCGGAAAGGGACCCGGGCCAGACCGGUCUAGAGGCCCCCCUCGGGACGCGAGGUACCCAGGGUUCAGAGCCGGCCUCUGGCUUGGGCUGAGACGUUCUGGGGGGGGGAUGAAGUCUGAUGGCUAUGAGGCCCCUUCUGGCUGAGCAGUCCCGUUCUGUGCCCCCCUCCCCCGCCCCUCUGACUGCGCAUUCAUUAGGAACUGACCCUCAGCUAGAUUGAUUCCCAGGCAGAAGAGUGCUCAGGGCUUGGCAACUGCCACAUUCGAACCCAGGAUCUAUCCUGUCUCUGAGGCUGCCUCCCUCCUGCUCCUCCCCAUUCCUUUUCCUGUCCCAUAGAAAUCUGGGCUUGCAGGUUUUCCUCUACAUUCACCCUCCCUCGGUCUCCGCCACUUCUGCUUCCUCUGCUAUGCCUCCAAGCCAGCUCUCCUUUCAGAGACCCAAACCCCCCAUCCACCUCCAGCAUCCCCACUUCUCCCCAGGCAAUGGGAUGGCCCCCCCCGCCCCCCCCGGCCUGGUCACCCACUCCGGAAGGACUCCCACAUCAAUACUCUUCUGUACUCUCCCGCCCUCCCCAGGGAAGGGCUGUCACCUCCACCCGUCCGGGGGCCUCUCUUUGGGCAACUGAUUCUCCUGGUGCCCCACUGGACAGCAGACACCAGAAGUCAUUUGGUGGAAUUUUAGAAACACAGCCCGCCUGGGCAGUGAGACUUUAAGUCCAAACACUAAAAAUUAUCUUUACAGUGUGGCCAUAAACCUUUACCGAGUUUGGCAUUUACAGUUUACACAGCCCAGCGGACAAGGUCCCGAGUUCAAAUCUGGCCUCGGUUAUCCUAUCUCUGUGACCCUAGGCAAGUCACUAAAGCCCGACCUCCUAGCCCUUACACUGCUCUUCUGCCUUCUAAGGCUCUAAGGUAUGGGUUUAAAGAAGAAAAAGGAAACACCCCAGGUGCCAGAAUGUGACCCCAAUGGGAAGGAAGGAAGGGGGGGUCUUUCCCAUAAUUUCUUUUCCUGUUUCAAUUUCCUUCUACAGCGAGGUUUCAUGACUGUUGGCUGGUAAUUUAUAGAAUCUAGAACUGGAAUCCUACCUUGGAGGGGGUGGAACAGGUCUCUGAACACUAAAGGAGAGUCCAUGAGCUUGGUUGGGUCCAUGGUAGGGGUCCUGGCCCAAGAUGACAACUUUUACCUGUGCGUGCCCAAGGGAGUCAGAAAUUAAUUCUUUUGAACAAAGAAGUAAUGCAUAGACUAGGAGACUUGGGGGAGCCAUUGCUGCUUCAGUGCAAAGUGCCCAGGAAAUGACUGACCCCGAAUCCCCGUCCUUUAUGCAGAUCUACCCCCCCCCCCCCAUUUGGGAGCUUCCAUCCAAACACGGUAGGAAUUGGGUCGAUUUGGGGAUGUCGAAGGGCUCUCGGUGAGACAGAGAAGGCAGUUUUCUGGAAUUCACAAGGGUGCUUUGGCUAAGGCCACCUCGCAUCACUUUUUGAGUUUGAUAGACCAGCGGCCCCUUCCUGAACAGCCCACACACAAAAGAGUGAGCAAACCACAAAAGGGCAGCCAAGGGGCCUGCUGUAGUGAGAGCACCGGACGCCGAGUCAAGAAGACCCAAGUUCAAAUCCAGCUUUACGUGUAAUCCUGGGCAAGUCACUUAACCCUGUUUGACAGAAAGGGUUAAAAAAGGAGGAAAUGAACUUCAAAAGGAAAAACUCAUCUGACCAUUACACCGUGGUUACAUUCAUCAGUUUUUUCCAUGAAAAACCUGUUUUUUUUCCUAAAGCAGAGCCAAGACUGAGGCAUCUCUAAAGAUCAUUUCGGCAACCACCAGUUAAUUCUUCCUUCUAAUGGAAGUUCUUAUAGCUCUACCCCAUUCAAGUAGAAGUCUUAGCAGUACUGAACCGACUAUUUGCCAUUAAAAAGAAACAAACCUUCAUCUUCUGCCUUAAAAUCAAUACUGUGCAUUGGUUCCAAUGCAGAAGAGCAACAAGGGCCGGACAAUGGAGGUUAAGUGACUUGGCCAGGGUCACCCAGCUAGACGUGUUUUUGAACUCAGCACCCCCAUCUCUGGGCCUGGCUCUCCAUCCACUGAGCCACCUCACUGCCCCCCCCCAUUAGUCUUUAAGCAACUUCUAAAAAUACCCCCCCCACAUGAAUGUUUGGGGCAUUCCAGUUGAAGUCAGACGUAUGACUCGAAAACUUGACCAAACCUCAGCCAAAUGUCCAGACUAAAAGGAGUUCAUGACUAAUCAGAACGGCCGGGGACAACUCUUCUGCAAUCAGUCUUUCGCUGCUUGAGUAAAGGCACAGGUGAGAAGCCCCUAGAACAGGCCCAAAGGGUCAGCUCGCGCUCGUGACACAACUCCAAUCUAGGAUCCCGGGGCUGGGACCUAGCAGAGCCACUUGGAACCGAUACUGACACAGAAAGCAAAGAUUUAGGAAAACAAAACACACACACAAGCCACGUAUUGGCUAAGAGACCAUCAAUGCCUUCCGGUUACCAGGGAGUAAACUGAUGCAAAAGUUCUAUCUUGCUCAACGAGGGCCAGCUCGACUAGCAUUUAUGAAAUGCUUUCAAUGUGCUCAUUGAUGGGGAUACACUAAAAUGAAGGAACAGUUCCUCCAGGCAUCAUAUCCCCAAAAUCUAGGCAAACUGGAAGCAGGGAAAUUCCUGUGCUUGUGACUCCUACCCCAAGAACAUCUGAUAACUUCUAUAAGACAAUGAGAUUAUUAUCAUCCUUGGAUCCUUCUUUAGAUUUGAGAUGGCCAGAGAGACGCACCUCCAGUCUACACCUCGAUACCAUCGGGCUGUAUCUCAGGCAUCCAUCUGUCCCCUAAACUAGGAGGGUCUUCAGGCGGAUCCUGGUCAGAAGACUAACCCCCCCCCCCCAUCAAAUGCCCAAGUGUUUACCGUUCUAGAGUCAUGUCCACACUAUGGCCCAACAUCACGUCCCCACUGGUGUAAAAAGUAUAUUAUCCCCAGAACUGGUGGAUUCUGGGAGCAGUCUUUCAUCUUGCUCUUCCACCCAUACCACCUCCAGGCCAGAUUCAACAGUACUUUCUAAAUGAAUAAAUUUCUCUUUUUAUUUUUAAGCUAAGUUUUAGAGUCUUGCAUUCUUACAAAAAAGCAUCCUUCCUGAACUCCAGGGGUUCACCUCCAGUACCCCACAACAGAGGGACUUGAAGCCAGGUCUUAAUCAAGCUCUAGACACUUAUGACAAGCUUCUUGGGAUUCAGUCUCUACACUGAACAGAUAACCAUCUGCUAUCUCUCAAGAGGGCUAAAGGAGCUCAAAUGAGAAAGUAUGGCAAAGACUAUUUUAACUUUUAUUCGCUGAAAAACCAGACUCUAAGUUUUAAGCAGUAGUCUUCCUGAGUUUUGUUUAUUUACUAUCAAUGUACUGUUUCUGUUUAAACUACGUCUAAUAAACUCAUUACUUCAA